CCUCAUUUUACACUGCUAUAAGGUAAUAAGCUAUAAGUUAAAAAGUUAAAAAACUAUUUUAAUAAGAUUUGCCAAACACCCUCUAGCCCUCUGUUUACCAUAGUUUUGUCUAUCUAACUUUCCACCGGCGAUUCUUGUGUUCUUCAGGGAGGUUGAAGGUGGAAAUGACGUUCAAUUAAUUAGUGGGUUCGGUGGUAGUGUAGGAAGAUUAUCUUUGGAAAAUGGGUUUUCGUCUGGGAGUUCUUCUGGUGAUUGAAAUCAGUUACUCGAGGGUGAAAAUCUCGAUAAAUUGAUUGAUAGAACCAUUAACACCACCAUUGUUUUUGCUGCUGGUACUUUCAGUAUUACCAAAUUGCUCACCAUUGAUUACGAUUAUUGGCAUGAAAAUUAUAAAUGAAAGAUAUGGAGAAGGUUUAAAAGAGGGUGGAGAUGUUCGUGAUCGCAUUGAUUCGGAGGCAAUAGAGGCAAUUGCUGAUGGGUUUAGAUGCAAAAAAUAUGGGCAGAAACUUGUGAAGGCAAUCCUUAUCCCAGGUUUAAUAAUAUAAAAUUAUAUUAAAAAAUAUAUUAAUUAUACUUAAAAUGUGGAUAUUAAGUCUAGUAUGAGAAGAUAUUAUGUAGAAGCUAUUAUAGUUGCAAUGUGAGGAAACAUGUGGAAAGAGCA